CCUACGGGUGGCAGCAGUGGGGAAUAUUGGGCAAUGGGCGCAAGCCUGACCCAGCAACGCCGCGUGAAGGAAGAAGGCUUUCGGGUUGUAAACUUCUUUUUACAGGGAAGAGUAGAAGACGGUACCUGUCGAAUAAGCCACGGCUAACUACGUGCCAGCAGCCGCGGUAAUACGUAGGUGGCAAGUGUUGUCCGGAUUUACUGGGUGUAAAGGGCGUGUAGCCGGGUUGACAAGUCAGAUGUGAAAUCCUGCGGCUUAACCGGAGAACUGCAGUUGAUACUGUUAAUCGUGAGUACUGGAGAGGCAGACGGAAUUCGUGGUGUAGCGGUGAAAUGCGUAGAUAUUAGGAAGAACACCGGUGGCGAAGGCAGUCUGCUGGACAGCAACUGACGGUGAGGCGCGAAAGCGUGGGGAGCAAACAGGAUUAGAUACCCUAGUAGUC
rnacentral:rRNA from 1 species